AACGAACGCUGGCGGCAUGCCUAACACAUGCAAGUCGAACGAGACCUUCCGGUCUUGUGGCGCACCGGUGCGUAACGCGUGGGAACCUGCCCUUAGGUUCGGAAUAACUCCCCGAAAGGGGUGCUAAUACCGGUUAAUGUCUUCGGACCAAAGAUCUAUCGCCUUUGGAUGGGCCCGCGUUGGAUUCGCUAGUUGGUAGGGUAAAAGCCUACCAAGGCGACGAUCCAUAGCUGGUCUGUGAGGAAGAUACGCCGCACUUGGACUGAGACACGGCCCAGACUCCGACGGAAGGCAGCAGUGGGGAAUAUUGGACAAGGGGCGAAAGCCUGAUCCAGCAAUGCCGCGUAAGUGAGGAAGGCGUUAGGGUUGUAAAGCUCUUUUAGCCGGGAUGAGAAUGACAGUACCGGGAGAAGAAGCUCCGGCUAACUCCGUG
rnacentral:rRNA from 1 species